rnacentral:rRNA from 1 species
CCUACGGGGACUGCAGUGAGGAAUAUUGGUCAAUGGCCGCAGGGCUGAACCAGCCAAGUCGCGUGAGGGAUGACGGUCCUAUGGAUUGUAAACCUCUGUUGUACGGGAGCAAAGGGCGCCACGUGUGGCGAUUUGCGAGUACCUGAAGAAAAAGAAUCGGCUAACUCCGUGCCAGCAGCCGCGGUAAUACGGAGGAUGCGAGCGUUAUCCGGAUGUAUUGGGUUUAAAGGGUGAGCAGGCGGAAUGUUAAGUCUGCGGUAAAAUUUCGGGGCGCAAACCCGUCGUGCCGUUGAUACUGGCGUUCUUGAGUGAGCGAGAAGUAUGCGGAAUGCGUGGUGUAGCGGUGAAAUGCAUAGAUAUCACGAAGAACUCCGAAUGCGAAGGCAGCAUACCGGCGCUCAACUGACGCUCAUGCACGAAAGCGUGGGUAUCGAACAGGAUUAGAUACCCUAGUAGUC